UACGUAGGGUGCGAGCGUUAAUCGGAAUUACUGGGCGUAAAGCGUGCGCAGGCGGUUUUGUAAGCCAGAUGUGAAAUCCCCGGGUUCAACCUGGGAAUGGCAUUUGGGACUGCAAGGCUGGAGUUUGGCAGAGGAGACUGGAAUUCCUGGUGUAGCAGUGAAAUGCGUAGAUAUCAGGAGGAAUACCGAUGGCGAAGGCAGGUCUCUGGGCUGAUAACUGACGCU
rnacentral:rRNA from 1 species